AAUAAAUGCAGGUUUUGUUUAUAUCUCACGUUUGACCGUUCGUUCGUUUUAUUUGAAAUUUUUUUACAAUUAACAUUUUUAUUGUUAUUAGAAGAGAAAACGUGAAUAAUACUUUAUGUGUGACUAACUUAUUUUAAUUUUCUCAUAAUUUUUUUAAAUAAGACGGAUGGUCAAACGUUGGACACGGAUUCCCACGACUAUAUUUAUU
rfam:Oryza meridionalis cultivar OR44 (W2112) chromosome 12, whole genome shotgun sequence.